AUUGAACGCUGGCGGCAUGCUUUACACAUGCAAGUCGAACGGUAACAGGGAGCUUGCUCCGCUGACGAGUGGCGAACGGGUGAGUAAUGCAUCGGGAACGUACCCAGUCGUGGGGGAUAACGUAGCGAAAGUUACGCUAAUACCGCAUACGUCCUGAGGGAGAAAGCGGGGGACCGUAAGGCCUCGCGCGAUUGGAGCGGCCGAUGUCGGAUUAGCUAGUUGGUGGGGUAAAGGCCUACCAAGGCGACGAUCCGUAGCGGGUCUGAGAGGAUGAUCCGCCACACUGGGACUGAGACACGGCCCAGACUCCUACGGGAGGCAGCAGUGGGGAAUUUUGGACAAUGGGGGGCAACCCUGAUCCAGCCAUGCCGCGUGAGUGAAGAAGGCCUUCGG
rnacentral:rRNA from 1 species